GUUAUUAUAGCUAGUAUCAACAAAGUAGCGAGAUACGUUGUGUGCAUUAUUUGAGCAUGGAAAAAUUGAAGACCGUGUAUUCAUUGACCAUAGGAGAGCAAUGCUUCAACGAGAUAUAUAAUUGUGAAAAUUAUGCCGAAUUGGUAGACUUGGAUCAUCAAAAAAUCCCCAGAGAAGAACUGCUUCUAAAGCUGACAAUCUUGACAAGAUUUUUCAGGAAUUCCACUACAGGAAACACAUGCCCUAGUCUAUGCAAAAUACGUCGUGGCCUGGUAUCUACUCACAAAAUUAUAGCCAAGCUUAUUGGCUGCCUGGAAUCACCUGAUCACCAUGUGUCAUUCAUCGCCGUUAAAACUCUGGCACAUGUCAUUCAAAUGGGUGAUAUGUAUUUGAAUUCAGAAGUAUUAGGUCAGCUGAAGGCAUUAUAUAUAGAUCUCAUACCAUUGUCACCUAAGGCAUUACAUGUCGCUGAACUAGUGCAGUUGGUGUUUCAGGAUAAUCUUGAUGAAACCCAUCCUGUUAAAUCAACUAGUCUGCAGCUCAAAUGUCAAUGCUUAGAAAAUGAGAGUCUAUUCCUUCCUAACUCAGAGCUAGCAAAGUCGCCUCAAGAAAUAAUCAAAUUGAACCUUGAGGGAUGUCUGACAGAUUUAUUUAUUUUGUACAUACCAUUUUACCAUGACAUGCAUGUUCAUCUGAAGAAACUUGGUUCAUUAACUUUAGGAAUACAUGCUGGAGAUAUUGAUUUAUUCUUGAGAAGAAGCAAAGAAAUGCACCAGAUUUUAUAUGACUCCAGAAAACUCACAUUCACUGAAGAGUGCUGCUUUAUUGAAUUUUUGAAAAUGGUUUUCCAGGUUAUGAAGUCUGAGAAAAUUGGAGUUCCAUCUAAGUUUGAAGAUCAACAAGAUACAAAAAGCAAAAAUUCUAAAAGGCAAAUCUCCCAACCAGACAACAUGGCUAUGAAUAUAAAAGAAUCAAACAAAGAAAUAAGCAAGCAAGUCUUACUUUUACUGCCCCAUUACCUUCAUGUAAAAAACAUAUCUACCGAAAUCACAAGCACAAUAUAUGAUGUUCUAUCAAUGGCACAAGCUAGCUUUGAUGGAAGGGACUGGGUGGUGCUGAACAGUGCUGUUGAAGUGCUAAGUGUUUUCAGCUGUUGUGCACUGGAAAAUGCACCCUCCAAAGUGUUUAAUGGGUUUGGGGGAACCCAGAUUUUGCUUCCACCUUCAUACUCUUCCAGCAAGCUUGAUCCGGUAGUUCUGAGAAAGCUGUCUCUUCUACUGACAAAAUCAACAGUUUUAUCUCUUGAAGCCCUAAAGAUAACUAAAGAUUCCACAAGGAUAGUAACUUUGGUGUUGGAUUGUAUGCAGAGCUGGCUGUAUCAGAUUAGCAGUCAGCUGCUUUCAAACUCUUGUUCCUGUUGUCCAUCCACACAAAAAUCAAUAAUAGAGCUGUUUGCAGACCAGGAUGAUGAGAUGAUUGACAUACUGUACCAUCUACUUCUCCUACAUCUAGCAUUGUGCAGCAUUGAUAAAGAUCCUGAUUCUAUCCAUCUUCAACAUGCCAUCAACCCUCAUCUCCUGUUCCUGGAAUUCCUGGGCACCACUCGUCAUGACCACUCCAUUCUGCUGGACUUGCUGGUCUCAUCAGAGACCACUUUCCUGGUGUAUCUGGUCAAAUACCUUCACCUGGUCCUGGAUGAUUGGCAGGGGUUUCUCCAGGCAGCAAAUGACUUUGAUAGGAAUAUUGCCCAGGGUCACAUAGUACAUAAAAAAACUGGCUCAUUAUCUCAUUCUGAUCAAGAAUGCAGCAAAGAGGCUGGAUACCCUGAGAAUGUUGGCCUUAGUAGUCCUAUAUGUCGGCUGGACUUGGCAUGUGAGAGCGAAUGCAGCAAAGGAACUGGAUAUGAUGAGAAUGUUUGUCUUGGCAGUCCUAUCUGUGAGCAGGGCUUGGCACAUGAUGGUGAUUCAGAUGUGGAGUUGGAUUAUGGUAGCGAUUCGCCUACUAUCGCUGAUGGACUUGCAAAAAUUAUGUUUUCUUAUGGCAGUAAUGAUGAAGAUUCUGAAAUUGAGUUAGACUGUUCGCAGUCUGGUAAAAGUGUUGGUGGGCAGAAUGUGUUUUGUGGGUCCUCUAUGAUAUCUCAGAGAACGAACUGUGUAUCCCAUAGUGAUACCAGUGCGACAAAUGUUUAUGGUGAUGACAACGAUGAUGAUGUUGUUGAUGAUGAUGAAGAAGAAGAUGAUAAUGAUGGUGGUGGUUAUGAUGAUGACGAUGACGAAAGUGGUGAUAAUAAUGGUGACAACAAUGAUGAAAAUGCACAUGAUGAUGAUGCUGAAGAACGGUGUACCGAAGACUUUGACAUGCCCUGUCACGCACUAGAUGAUGCGAUGACAGUUCUGAUUCGUCUUCGGAUCGCGACAGAAAAGCUUGAGAAUGCCGGGCUUUUCCCUUUCUAUGUGAAGCCAUUGAUUUGCCUUAUUGAAUCAGCUGAAUAUCACUAUGAACAGUGCUGAUAUGAGCAAGAACUUAUUGUGUUGUUUAUAGUGUAGAUCUUAUUGUGUAGAUUAUAGUGCGACUUGCACUAACUAAUACGUGACCUUUUGAUUGGCAAAUUCGCACACGCUUCGGCUUUUAGCGGCAAAAUAAAACAAAAAAACAAAAAGUAACUUAUAAGCUCAUAUACAUUUUGUUCUUUUCGUCGUCCUUUGUCGUGACGGGUGCAUUUAUUUCUGUGUGAGUCACGUAAUCAGCUAUUGCAAGUCGCCUACGAUUAAUACACGAAGAAAGCUAAUCGGACUGUAGGGUGUUGCCCGCCGUCGAAGAAAACAGUGCAAUUUGGAAAUUAAGAAAUUUUGCAAUGACUUAAAACAUAGGGGUUUGGAGGCUCUGGAACGUCCUUCCCCGUCUAGGUACAUGGCUUAGCUACUCUGUACUCGUUGCAGGUUAUGAACAGGAGUGGUCCAAGCAUAAAGCACUGUGGAACUUCGGAGGUAGCGAAUAGAGUCUACUUUCGUCUUUUCAAAUAACGAUAAGCGAUAAAUAAAAUUCGAUCACUCUUAUGCGGGCUCACCUUAGCCACAGCGGUAACUCCCAAUACGCGCGCUAUUACGUAAAUCAUGAUGUAACUUUUUUUAUGAUAACGUAACAAAGGUUGCUAAGGUUUCCCGCCAGAUUUUCUACAGACCCCGAACUGGUCGGUCGACAUUUUUUCGCUCUUCCAUUUCUCUAAAAAUGGCUCACAGGAACCCAGUUUAUCAGGGCGGCUCGAUAAAUAAUUUAUCCAGCAAAGACAAAGAUAUUAUUCUUCGGCAAAAGUCAGCUUGAAGUUCUGCAAGGUGUCAGAAUUAGAGGAUUUGCAGUCUCUAAGAGAAUACAGAGAUAAGAGAGCCCAAAAUACCAGACGUAGUGCAAACGAGUGUGCCUCGGUAUGUAUAAACCAACCUCCAACUACCACAAAAGUUAGAGAAUAAGAGGCAACUUAGCUUACAUGCAAUUGUAAGACCUUUCAAAGACCUUUAAAGACUCUGGAUAAACUACGAAAUAGCCUCGCAACUGGAUAAGCAGAGCAGGUGGACCUAGCUUUUCGCUAAAGGGAGAGUUUGGCUCGGUGGCAAAGGGGGAAGGAAGUAAUUUUUUUGUUUCAUGUGGCUUUUUGGUAGCCCAAAGGGGGGGGGGGGAUUUAAAACCCCCUUCACCCUCCCCUAGACCCGCUACUGCAGAGAAUGGAGGGGGGGGGGGGGGGCUGCUAUGAUAUAUCUCGUGCAUUGGUCCUGAAGCACCGUUUGCAAACGUUGUCGAAAAAACAAAUAUUGAUUGAAUUAUGAAGCUCAUUGAAGCCACUGCGCUGGAGAAACGAAAUCUACUAAGGUAUUUGAAGAAACCGGAAGAAACCAGGAAAAUGGUGAGUCAGUAGAUCACUAUAUCGCUGCAUGUUAGAUCACUUUCUAAAACUUGUAAUUACGCCAAAUGGCAAGAUGUAAUAAUUUGUGACAGAAUCGUGGCCGAAAUAGCCUACAAUGGUACACGGUGUACACAAGAAAUUGUUGACAGAAAACAAACUAACAUUUGCAAAGUGAUUGAUAUCCGCUGUGUAAAUGAAGCCACUAUAGACAAGGCUAAAAGAAAUGUUCCAACCAAUCGGGUAAAAUCAGCACCAUUACCACAGGGCCCCCGCGCAGAAUAACAGGGUACAAAGGGGGUAAAAGACAGGAACCCGGAAAACCGCCACAUACGGAUAGUAGCAAAUCUAAUCCCCAGCCUAAAAGCAAGUUUUUUUCCAUUGAUUACCGCCUAGGGUUUAUGAAUACCCAGCUUGGCAGAAAACCUAUAAUUCAUAUGGAAAGUUUCUAAAUCACUUCUCAGUAGCAUAGGCAAGAAGGGUAAGAAACCAGUACACAGUGUUGAUUGCCAGUGAUAAUGGUGCAUUUUUUACUGUGGAGUCCGUGGACACUCUGAACAGAAAUCCACCUGUCCUGAGUAGAUUUGUAUGACAAAGUCUUCAAUGAUCCAAAAUUGGAACGCUUACAAAAAAGCAGCGCAACACUAGUUAUGUUUAACAAGUCAGAACUAAAAUCCCUCUCAACCCAAAGAAUAAUGAUUUACUGAAGUAUGCGAUAGUCCUUAGAAGUAACAUCCCACUUCUGACACCAUAUAUCGUUUUUCUUCCUUCCCUCAGCUGAGAAACGAUACAAUUUCUAUCUAUAGUUUAUUUUUCCCUCGAAUUUUUGGAUUUUUGGAGUCAAACAUUUUGUGUUUCGCGGCUACCCGUAGACUACUGCUACUUGGAGCACGUCCCCGGGCGCCGCAGGUUCGCAAAUGAUCUUCCCUGUAGUUCUCGGUGCUAUAAGUAUACAUUAAUGACCUUAAUUGGUUUGAGGAUAUCCUGAAAAUUCUACGUACUAAUGAACUUGCUCAUCUUCUUUCUUUAAUUGUCAAUUUAAAAUACGGCGCUCUCCAUCGAACGUGACCAAUUUUUGCCUGUCGAUUGUUAACAUUUGUUCAUUACUGAAAAAAAUUUGAUAAUUAGGCGGUUGGGUAGGUAGGGGUGGGGGAAGGGAGUCAUCUAGUUUUUUUCCUCUCGAAUUUUUUUACUUUUUAAAAAAACUUUACAAGGGAGUCAAACCAUUUGUGUUUCGCGGUUACUAGUAGGCGACGGCUACUUGGAGCACGCCCCCAGGCCCCUCUCGGUAUUUACAGCAGGUUCGCAAAUGAUCUUCCUCCACUGCUCUAAGUAUGCAUAAGUGGCCUUAAUUGCUUUGAGGCUACUCUGAAAAUCUACGUGUUUAAUUGGCAUUGCUCAUCGUUAUUUGUCUUUAUUUGUCAAUUUAGAAUUCGGUGCUCUCCAUCGAACGUGAUCAGUUUGAUGUCGAUUUUUUAACUUUUUCCUGUCAACUGACGAAUGACGAAAUUGCCAUCUGCUGGCAUCCAGUUUCUUUCAAAAAAUGAAAAAAAAAAAAACAACAAGAAAAAAAGCUACGGACAUCAUUUCAAACGUGGAACGGCAGUGAAGCGGGAAACUCGAAUUGUUUUAUUUUAAUUUUCUUUAUUAUUAUCUAGUAUUCUCAGGUGGUUACUCGAAUAAUAACGGGGUUUCACUUUUUUAUCUAAUUUUUCUUGUUUUUUCACAGCCAAUCCAAAUAAACCCAUUCUAAGACAACUGUGAUAUUUUUGUAUUUCUAUCGUUCACAACUUGUAGCAAAUGACACCCCAUUGAGAAAACAUGUCGUCCAACCGAGCUCUGUCUCUAUUGAAAGAGAGGAUAAACUCUGCAAUAGAAUAAACAGCAAUUUUGAAUCCGUUUAUAUUUUUUGUUCGACCAAACAAAACUUUGCUCUUUUAUUUUCGCUAGUUAAUUUAAUUAUUCGACCCCCUCAAAAAAGUGUAUUUUAUUUCCUUUUAUGUUUUUCUUCCUUUGCAAAUAGACUCAUCGUUCUCGUGACAAUAAAAAAACCAAUAAUAUAGCUUUCCUUUUAGAAUGUCUCAAAAACAAUAAACAUUGAUAUGUCGGCCGUUCAGUUCCCUUUCUUAUAUAAUUGGAGCAUUUGCUUGUCCAUCGGAAAUUUUGGGAGUGUAUUUUUUUUUCUAUUAUUUAAUUGUAUGUUUUGUAAUCGACUACGCAUUUUCAGUCACGCACGGUCCAUAGGUGAUUGUGGGGGAGAUAUGUUUGCACGCUACACGCGAUUUAGAGCACGUUUUCAAAAAAAGUCUUUCUAUAGGAGCAUAGAAAAUUCUUUGAUUGUGUUAUUUUCAAAACGACGAUUUUAAAAUAAAGGCCAAGGUUGACUUUGGAAAAUAGAGCGUUAUAUUUUGUCAUAGUAAAGAGACCGCAUAUUAUAAUGUUAUUCUUCCUUCAAGCACUUUAGCCCCUCUGUCUAGCAUAACAAAUAGUAAAAGAGAAACUAGUUUCUUAAGGCGUCACUCUAUUUAUUGUCUGGCGUUACUUUGGGUUUCUAUUCUUACACCGCUCGCGAUUGGUCAACAAGCGAGCAGCCCUGGAGAUAUAUUAUAUUAGGCGUCUUAUGAUUGGCUGUAUUCACCCGAGCUUGUCACCUGAGCUUAGUGCUAAUACUUUGUCUUCGCCUCUCAGUUCGCAUGGACUUUUGCAAACUGCUAGCGUUACCUCGAAAAAAUCAAUUCAUCCCUACUCUACAUGACUCUAAUCAAGCAAUUUAAAAUUUACAACUUUCCAAGAGGUCUUCCAAGGGAUUUUUAUGCUGUCUAACUGGUUGUAAAUUAGAAGUAUUUGUAAAGACGCGUUGAACGUAAUAAGGUCGAUGUGUGUUGAUGACAACGAGGAGUAUAGCGGCCAUCGAUAGACUACGUCCCUUCCUGAGUUUUCCUUUGGCGCCGCAAAGGCCUUGAUUUCACGCUGGAUCCCACACAAGGCUUCAUGUUUACUCCCGGCUCUAUGGGAGAGGAGCAAGAUGACUACGAAGACGAAAUGUCCGAAAAAUCUUCGCAUGGUCGUCUGCGGAAAAGAAAAUCUAACAUACAAAUGAUGA